rnacentral:tRNA from 1 species
GUUCAAAUAGUUUAAAAAAAAUAUAGGUCUGUGAUUCCUAAAUUGUACGGUGUGCUUUGAACA